CGCCGCGGUUAGACGAGUCUUUGGCUCUAGUUGAUAUCUACGGCGUAAAGAGUGGUUAAGGAACAACUACAUUAAAGUCGAAGGCUCUUGACGCUGUCAUACGUUCGCAGGAGCUCGAAGCCCUACAACAAAAGUGACUUUAUUAUCCCUGAAUCCACGAAGGCUAUGACA
rnacentral:rRNA from 1 species